AUGUGUACGAGAAAGCAUGAAGGAGGAAUGGGUUUUAGAGAUCCGGAGGCUUUCAACCAAGCUAUGCUUGCCAAACAAGCAUGGAGACUGUUCCAGGAACCCGCUUCACUAUGUGCUCGAGUGUUGAAAGCCGGGUAUUAUGUUGAUGGACCCAUUCUGAAUGCAGCUUGUCCAAGUGGUGGCUCGUACACUUUCAAGAGCAUUUUGCACGAGAGAUAUCUCUUACUCGACGGUGUGAUAUGGAGGAUUGGAGAUGGCUCCAAAAUUAAGAUUCAUCACGAUAAUUGGAUUCCGAGGAAGGGUAGCUUGAAGCCACUGGGCCAGAGCUACAUACAUGGGAUUGUGAGAGUGUGUGACCUGCUGGAUGAUACGGGCAGCUCCUGGCACGUGAACAAGGUGGAAGCAAUGUUUCCACCUGAUGAGGCUCGAGAGAUAUCCCAAAUCCCAAUUGGUGGCCCGGAGGUGGAGUAUUACCAGGCAUGGAAUUACACAAGGAACGGGGUGUUUACGGUCUGGUCUGCCUACCACUUACGGAUGAGUCAGAAGCGGAUGCGUUCGGGCCGGCCAGAGACAUCGUCAUUUGUUGCGGAUCAUAAAUCAUGGCUAAACCUAUGGGAUACGGCGGCACCAGGCAAGGUCAAGACACACAUGUGGAGGCUGAUACGAAACGGACUCGCAGUGGGGUCGGAGCUGUCAAGGAGGAAGAUUAAAGCAGGUGUAUUCUGCCCGGCGUGUGGAUGA
rnacentral:rRNA from 1 species